ACGCUCGACACCUACUGGAGGCAGCAGUGGGGAAUAUUGCACAAUGGGGGAAACCCUGAUGCAGCGACGCCGCGUGAGUGAAGAAGUAUUUCGGUAUGUAAAGCUCUAUCAGCAGGGAAGAAGAUGACGGUACCUGAGUAAGAAGCCCCGGCUAACUACGUGCCGGCAGCCGCGUAAUCUGAGCGGGCGUGGCAAGGC
rnacentral:rRNA from 1 species